rnacentral:lncRNA from 1 species
GGAGAAAGAAAAAAAAAACAGGAGAGGAGAAGAGAGAAAAGGGAGAGGAGAAAGGAGAGAAGAGGGGCUGCCGGCCAGGGGGUCGUCGGCCGGUCGUCGGACGGUACCGGACCCUCGCCGGUGCUGGCGCCGGCCACCGUACACGGUGGCCGGAAACUAAAAAAGGUUAGAUUUUUUCCCUUUUUUAUAUUUUUUUUGUAUUAUAUUUUCGUAUAGUUAGUGUUUAUUUAAUAUGCUUGUGCAAAAAAACAGAUCAAAAACAGUAACUAAAAUGAAAUAGAAUCACUUAGGAUCUUUACCACUUUCGAUUCUCUGAUCUUUGGUGUUCGUUUUUUCUGUGUUGAUACCUGUUUUGGAUUGGUUUUCUCGCUCUAUCUACUGUUUCUUUUCUUUUGAAAUAUAUCUAUGUAUUGUCAAAAACUCCCACCCCUUACAAAGUAUUUCCCUUUGGUUUUUAUAACCAUUUGUCAAUAUUAAUCUAAUAUUGUUGUCUUUUCGUGUGUUUCUUGCAGGGCAUGGGCGAACGGCGGUGGCAGAGGCAUGGUGGAGCAGGUGGCCAGUGCUGGUGUUAGAAGGUUGGUGGGCAAGUGGGAGAGGCUGCGGCGCAAGUGGGGAGGCAAGUGGAAUUAGGGUUUCCUCUCUGCUGAUUUGUUUUGGGCUGCUGGGCUAAGUUAAUUUAGGGUAUUGGGCUAGUAGUACUUGGGUUAGGCUAAUAGGGCUGAAAAUAUUGUAAACAGGCUUGGGUUAGUAAGGGUUUGAAAUGUAUUUGGGUUUGGCAAAAUUGGGUAUGUACAAUAGUUUAUUUGGCUUUUUAAUUCUACAAAAAAUCAUUUUAGUCCUCCAUUUAAAUCACUCCAAAAUACAUGGAAAAGCUAAUAUGUGUUAACUUUGCUGAUAUGGCAUACAUGAGACAAUCCACAUAUAUGACACAU